AUGGUCUCGUGGGGUUAAAUAAGGGAUCUGGCCUGCCCACUGCUAAAAGUGAAGGGCUGCAGUAUUUUGACUGUACAAAGGUAGCACAAUCAUUAGUCUUUUAAUUGUAGACUUGUAUGAAGGGUUGAACAAAUAACUAUUGUUUCAGGCUUAAGAUGUGAAUUUGAUAUUUCUGUUAAAAGGCAGAGAUGUGUUUAAAGGACAAGAAGACCCUUUUAAAGUUUACGAAUGAUUAAUUUAUUUAUCUAUGUCAAAAGUAUAAUAAGUUUUUGUUUAGUUUUGCUGGGGCGGCAGGUUGUUUAACGGAAUUAAUUGAUAAAUAGGGUGACUAGAUGUUGAUGUGAGCCUGGUUGUUUGGCUGAUAAAAUAAGUUACUAGAGGGAUAACAGCGUAAUAUGUUUUGAGAGUUCUUAUUGACGAACAUGUUUGCGA
rnacentral:rRNA from 1 species